rnacentral:rRNA from 1 species
GACGAACGCUGGCGGCGUGCCUAAUACAUGCAAGUAGAACGCUGAAGAGAGGAGCUUGCUCUUCUUGGAUGAGUUGCGAACGGGUGAGUAACGCGUAGGUAACCUGCCUGGUAGCGGGGGAUAACUAUUGGAAACGAUAGCUAAUACCGCAUAAAAUUGAUUAUUGCAUGAUAAUUAAUUGAAAGAUGCAAUUGCAUCACUACCAGAUGGACCUGCGUUGUAUUAGCUAGUUGGUGAGGUAACGGCUCACCAAGGCGACGAUACAUAGCCGACCUGAGAGGGUGAUCGGCCACACUGGGACUGAGACACGGCCCAGACUCCUACGGGAGGCAGCAGUAGGGAAUCUUCGGCAAUGGGGGGAACCCUGACCGAGCAACGCCGCGUGAGUGAAGAAGGUUUUCGGAUCGUAAAGCUCUGUUGUAAGAGAAGAACGGGUGUGAGAGNGGAAAGUUCACACNGNGACGG